GAUGAAGAACGUAGUGAAAUGCGAUAAGUAGUGUGAAUUGCAGAAUUCAGUGAAUCAUCGAAUCUUUGAACGCACAUUGCGCCCCUUGGUAUUCCAUGGGGCAUGCCUGUUCGAGCGUCAUUUGUACCUUCAAGCUUUGCUUGGUGUUGGGUGUUUGUCCCGAGGGACUCGCCUUAAAGUAAUUGGCAGCCAGUGUUUGGUUUUGAAGCGCAGCACAAGUCGCGAUUCAAGGCUACACGCCCGCUUCCACAAGCCUUUUUUCACUUUUGACCUCGGAUCAGGUAGGGAUACCCGCUGAACUUAAGCAUAUAAUAAGCGGAGGA
rnacentral:misc_RNA from 1 species